GUUUGCCCCGCUUUAGUUGUUACGAUCAUAUUUUCUAUCGAUUGCACAUUCAAUUGGGAGGGUUCUGAUGCAGUAACUUGGCAACACAGAUGAGGCACAUUUUCUUCAAACAAGCGGUCAAUCUUCAAGGUUGAAUUUUUAUCCUUGAAUGAGUUGACUCUCGAUUUGUCUCUUAAUAAUAAUAUCACCCGAUUAUUUAUUGAUUUUAAACUAGCUAAUUCAUAUGCUAACAGACUACCGAUACUACCUGCUCCCAAAAUAUAAAUUGUGUUAUUCAUUUGAAGUAAAUGAAAUAACGAUCAACUUCAUAUCAAACGUUAGCAGGACACUGAAUCGUGACUGUCCUUAUCAAAAUAAUUAGUGCUGUAGCAAGCAGCGUUAAAGACUGCAUAAUAAUAUCAUCUUAUCGA